rnacentral:rRNA from 1 species
GACGAACGCUGGCGGCGUGCUUAACACAUGCAAGUCGAACGGAAAGGCCCCUUUGGGGGUCCUCGAGUGGCGAACGGGUGAGUAACACGUGAGUAACCUGCCCUUGACUUCGGGAUAACUUCAGGAAACUGGGGCUAAUACCGGAUAGGAAUCCUUGCUGCAUGGUGGGGGUUGGAAAGCUUCGGCGGUUUUGGAUGGACUCGCGGCUUAUCAGCUUGUUGGUGGGGUAGUGGCUUACCAAGGCUUUGACGGGUAGCCGGCCUGAGAGGGCGACCGGCCACAUUGGGACUGAGAUACGGCCCAGACUCCUACGGGAGGCAGCAGUGGGGAAUAUGGCACAAUGGGCGGAAGCCUGAUGCAGCAACGCCGCGUGCGGGAUGACGGCCUUCGGGUUGUAAACCGCUUUCAGCAGGGGCGAAGCUUUUGUGACGGUACCUGCAGAAGAAGCACCGGCUAACUACGU